UACGAAGGGGGCUAGCGUUUUUCGGAAUUACUGGGCGUAAAGCGCACGUAGGCGGAUUUGUAAGUCAGGGGUGAAAUCCCGGGGCUCAACCUCGGAACUGCCUUUGAUACUGCAAGUCUUGAGACCGGAAGAGGUGAGUGGAAUUCCUAGUGUAGAGGUGAAAUUCGUAGAUAUUAGGAAGAACACCAGUGGCGAAGGCGGCUCACUGGUCCGGUUCUGACGCUGAGGUGCGAAAGCGUGGGGAGCAAACAGG
rnacentral:rRNA from 1 species